rnacentral:rRNA from 1 species
UACGUAGGGUGCGAGCGUUAAUCGGAAUUACUGGGCGUAAAGCGUGCGCAGGCGGUUCGUGAUGUCUGAUGUGAAAGCCCCGGGCUCAACCUGGGAAUGGCAUUGGAAACUAGCGGGCUGGAGUGUGGCAGAGGGGGGUGGAAUUCCACGUGUAGCAGUGAAUGCGUAGAGAUGUGGAGGAACACCGAUGGCGAAGGCAGCCCCCUGGGCUAACACUGACGCUCAUGCACGAAAGCGCGGGGAGCAAACAGG